ACAAGCACCGGUGAGGGACUUCUAUCAAUAAACACAGAGGAAAACCAAAUGCAAGAAAUUGGGAAGUGGGUGGCUGAGCACUGAAAUUCUUUCUGCUCCAGUGAUAUCAACAAGUGUAAAAGAAAGUCAAAUGCUAAUUUGAUGCUUUUGCGCUCCAAACUACCAGGAAAAAGAAUGACUUUGGAUUUCUUUUAUUGCAGUUUUCAAGAUGGAGUUACUAGUAAGAACUAUGCGAGAGGUAGGGGGAUUUUUGUUGGCGGGGAGCGAUCGCUUUUAUUGGAGCAACUGCAGGAAGGGAACCUUGUGUCCACAAGUAUGCUUACAAACUCUCCCAGCUAUGCAGUUGAUCCAAUAAGAGUUCACCCCCCCCAAAAUCCUUCCCUCACAUAUUUGCUGGACCAUCACAGCUACACCAUCCCUCCCAACACUAGAAACAGCUAUCAGGUUUGUGUGGACUAUUCUUAGGCUCCAAAAUCUUCCUCCAAAAGGCUGGUAAUAACCCCAAAUGCUGCAUUAGCAAGAAGCUGCAGAUUUUAUUGUCACAUAACAGCUUCAAAGUAGUUAUAUUGCUGUGAUUCUCCCAUUGCAAUUCUCUAUGGCAGAUGUCAAAACCAAAAUAACAUGUCAACUUAUAUUGGGAAAACUUGAAGCUAGCAUUCGUUCAUACCCAGGUAAACUAAAAAACUUAAAGAAAUAAAUUGAAGGCGGAGAAGGGUCUGAGUAUACUGAUCACCAGACAGCAUGGAGACAGCUUAUCUCUUUGAUCAAAAGAUACUGGUUUUAAAUCACAGGUAAACAGCCCUCUGAAAUGUCUGAGACUAAAGUGCAAUCACCAACAAAGUAUUUGUUUUACCCAAAAAGUGAAGGUGUGGGGUUAGUGCCUUUUAACGAGGUUACCAAGUCACCAUGCUAGAUUAUAAAGUGUUUAUCCCACACACUAACCAGUUACCACAUAGUGUAUUAAAUAAUUUAAAAAAAACAGUGAAGCUAUGUAACCACCUCUUAUAGGUGUGUCUGCUAUGUAGGGGAGUGGUUUUGCUGGCUAUUUAUUUAGCCCAGUUAUUCAGUUGCUUAAGUUAACAUGCAAAUACUCAGGAUAUUCCCUAAACUAUGAUUCUUAGAAAAGCUGAAUGUGGGGAGAGGCAAAAAAUCCCCCAUUUCUUGUCUGGGUUUUCAGAAAUGGAGCAGAAUUUUUAUAAAGCUUCCUAUUUGUUAGGGCACGUUCACUUUGUUCCACAAAGGGUCCCUCCCUUCUACACAGGGUUUUUUUUGGAAAUGUGAUUGUUGCUAGUAAUACAGAACAAUGGAUGAAAGAAAUUAAAGACUAAGUCCGAUUUUAAAGAAAAUACUUUUCUUCUUGUUAAACUAGCCUUUUAUUUUUGCACCUACAGCACAGUUGGAAGCCUCUAUCUUUUUGUGGACUGCAUAUAAAGAAAUAUGUUCCUUUGACUUUACUAUUUGGACAUGGGAAUGAUGUGUUUGUUGAUCUGAUUAUAAGGAGAGACUCUUUUAUUUGUUAUUUCAGAACCCGACUUGGCUUUUAUUUAGCUUCUGUUUGCACUCCUUUCUCAGCUGUGUGAAGGGAACCCGACGCUCUUCUAGGGAGUCUUCAAAGAGAAGCUGACAAAAUCAUGGUGGAAAACCUAUUUCACCAUAAUUUGGCUAGUUAAUUUUCUAAUAUAUAUAUAUGAGGAAGAUUUUUUUGCUGGCAAAAAUCCUCUAUGGCAACAGAACCUUCCAUUCUGCCCCCUCUGCUAAGAGAAAGAAGAUGGAUCUGGCAGCUGAUCCCUUGAGAAGCUAGUGCCUUCCAAGGGUGCAAGUCAUGUCCUGCCAGUAAAACGUCCAUAAGUGUUCAUAAGUGUACAGGGACUUGUACCAUGGUGAUGGUAGCUCCUGUCUGCCACCAGAACUUCUGACAGAAGAGGUGGGUCAGUAUAUACAAGGCCAGAGACAAGACCCGGAAAAGAAGAGCAUUUGUCACUUUUGUAUAGCUACAGCAAGUUUAAUGAGAUGAAAUACCUUAAAACAGACAUCAUUUAGACACCUUCAUCUUGACUGUCUAAAACAAGAAUUGCAUUAUUUUAACUAGUGUGGGUACGGAGGUACUAAUAAUAUCACUUCUUCACACAUGCAAAGGACAAUCGGUUACAUGGGUAUAAACACCUUCCUAAAUCACUACAACUGCACUUAUAUUAAGGCUGUACUGAUGUCAGAAUCACACUUCUAGCCUAUCCGGAUACCCAAAUGGUACGUCUGUCUGUGUUACGCAUUCAAAUUAAACUAACUGAGAGUAAUACUUUUCAGCUG